AUUGAACGCUGGCGGAAUGCUUUACACAUGCAAGUCGAACGGUAGAGGGGGCAACCCCUCGAGAGUGGCGAACGGGUGAGUAAUAUAUCGGAACGUGCCCAGUCGUGGGGGAUAACGGAGCGAAAGUUACGCUAAUACCGCAUACGAUCUAAGGAUGAAAGCGGGGGAUCGCAAGACCUCGCGCGAUUGGAGCGGCCGAUAUCAGAUUAGGUAGUUGGUGGGGUAAAGGCUCACCAAGCCAACGAUCUGUAGCUGGUCUGAGGGGACGACCAGCAACACUGGGACGGGGACACGGUCCAGACUCCUACGGGAGGCAGCAGUGGGGAAUUUUGGACAAUGGACGCAAGUCUAAUCCAGCCAUUCCGCGUGCAGGAUGAAGGCCCUCGGGUUGUAAACUGCUUUUGUACGGAACGAAAAGGUCUCUCUUAAUACGGGGGGCUCAUGACGGUACCGUAAGAAUAAGCACCGGCUAACUACGUGCCAGCCGCCGCCGUAA
rnacentral:rRNA from 1 species